rnacentral:rRNA from 1 species
UGGGGAAUCUUAGACAAUGGGGGAAACCCUGAUCUAGCCAUGCCGCGUGGACGAUGAAGGCCUUAGGGUUGUAAAGUCCUUUCAGCUGGGAAGAUAAUGACGGUACCAGCAGAAGAAGCCCCGGCUAACUCCGUGCCAGCAGCCGCGGUAAUACGGAGGGGGCUAGCGUUGUUCGGAAUUACUGGGCGUAAAGCGCACGUAGGCGGACUGGAAAGUUGGGGGUGAAAUCCCAGGGCUCAACCCUGGAACUGCCUUCAAAACUAUCAGUCUGGAGUUCGAGAGAGGUGAGUGGAAUUCCGAGUGUAGAGGUGAAAUUCGUAGAUAUUCGGAGGAACACCAGUGGCGAAGGCGGCUCACUGGCUCGAUACUGACGCUGAGGUGCGAAAGCGUGGGGAGCAAACAGGAUUAGAGACCCCAGUAG